rnacentral:rRNA from 1 species
UACGUAGGGGGCUAGCGUUGUCCGGAAUCAUUGGGCGUAAAGCGCGUGUAGGCGGUCCGGUAAGUCCGCUGUGAAAGUCGAGGGCUCAACCCUCGAAUGCCGGUGGAUACUGUCGGGCUUGAGUACGGGAGAGGCGAGUGGAAUUCCUGGUGUAGCGGUGAAAUGCGUAGAUAUCAGGAGGAACACCGGUGGCGAAGGCGGGUCUCUGGGCCGAUACUGACGCUGAGGAGCGAAAGCGUGGGGAGCGAACAGG